rnacentral:rRNA from 1 species
AAAGAUUAAGCCAUGCAUGUCUAAGUAUAAGCAAUUAUACGGCGAAACUGCGAAUGGCUCAUUAUAUAAGUUAUCGUUUAUUUGAUAGUACCUUACUACUUGGAUAACCGUGGUAAUUCUAGAGCUAAUACAUGCUUAAAAUCCCGACUUCGGAAGGGAUGUAUUUAUUAGAUUAAAAACCAAUGCCCUUCGGGGCUCCUUGGUGAUUCAUGAUAACUUCUCGAAUCGCAUGGCCUUGCGCCGGCGAUGGUUCAUUCAAAUUUCUUCCCUAUCAACUUUCGAUGUUUGGGUAUUGGCCAAACAUGGUUGCAACGGGUAACGGGGAAU